rnacentral:rRNA from 1 species
GGGCCUAAUACAUGCAAGUCGAACGCUUCUUUCCUCCCUUUUGCUUGCACUCAAUUGGAAAGAGGAGUGGCGGACGGGUGAGUAACACGUGGGUAACCUACCCAUCAGAGGGGGAUAACACUUGGAAACAGGUGCUAAUACCGCAUAACAGUUUAUGCCGCAUGGCAUAAGAGUGAAAGGCGCUUUCGGGUGUCGCUGAUGGAUGGACCCGCGGUGCAUUAGCUAGUUGGUGAGGUAACGGCUCACCAAGGCCACGAUGCAUAGCCGACCUGAGAGGGUGAUCGGCCACACUGGGACUGAGACACGGCCCAGACUCCUACGGGAGGCAGCAGUAGGGAAUCUUCGGCAAUGGACGAAAGUCUGACCGAGCAACGCCGCGUGAGUGAAGAAGGUUUUCGGAUCGUAAAACUCUGUUGUUAGAGAAGAACAAGGACGUUAGUAACUGAACGUCCCCUGACGGUAUCUAACCAGAAAGCCACGGCUAACUACGUGCCAGCAGCCGCGGUAAUACGUAGGUGGCAAGCGUUGUCCGGAUUUAUUGGGCGUAAAGCGAGCGCAGGCGGUUUCUUAAGUCUGAUGUGAAAGCCCCCGGCUCAACCGGGGAGGGUCAUUGGAAACUGGGAGACUUGAGUGCAGAAGAGGAGAGUGGAAUUCCAUGUGUAGCGGUGAAAUGCGUAGAUAUAUGGAGGAACACCAGUGGCGAAGGCGGCUCUCUGGUCUGUAACUGACGCUGAGGCUCGAAAGCGUGGGGAGCAAACAGGAUUGGAUACCCUGGUA